rnacentral:rRNA from 1 species
GACGAACGCUGGCGGCGUGCUUAACACAUGCAAGUCGAACGGAAAGGCCCUGCUUUUGUGGGGUGCUCGAGUGGCGAACGGGUGAGUAACACGUGAGUAACCUGCCCUUGACUUUGGGAUAACUUCAGGAAACUGGGGCUCAUACCGGAUAGGAGCUCUUGCUGCAUGGUGGGGGUUGGAAAGUUUCGGCGGUUGGGGAUGGACUCGCGGCUUAUCAGCUUGUUGGUGGGGUAGUGGCUGACCAAGGCUUUGACGGGUAGCCGGCCUGGGAGGGGCACCGGCCACAUUGGGACUGAGCUACGGCCCAGACUCCUACGGGAGGCAGCGGUGGAGAAUGUUACACAGUGGGCGGAAGCCUGAUGCAGCAACGCCGCGUGCGGGAUGACGGCCUUCGGGUUGGAAACCGCUUUCGCCUGUGACGAGGCGUUAGUGACGGUAACGGGUAAAGAAGCACCGGCUAACUACGUG